GCUAGCGGCAGGCUUAACACAUGCAAGUAGAACGGUAACAGUCCUUCGGGAGCUGACGAGUUGCGAACGGGUGCGUAACGCGUAUGCAACCUACCCAUAACAGAGGGAUAGCCCAUAGAAAUGUGGAUUAAUACCUCAUAACAACUUAAGAUGGCAUCAUCUAAAGUUUAAAACUCCGGUGGUUAUGGAUGGGCAUGCGUGACAUUAGCUAGUUGGUGAGGUAACUGCUCACCAAGGCAACGAUGUCUAGGGGUUCUGAGAGGAUGAUCCCCCACACUGGUACUGAGACACGGACCAGACUCCUACGGGAGGCAGCAGUGAGGAAUAUUGCGCAAUGGAGGAAACUCUGACGCAGCCAUGCCGCGUGCAGGAAGACUGCCCUAUGGGUUGUAAACUGCUUUUAUAUAGGAAGAACUACAGAUACGUGUAUUUGUUUGACGGUACUAUACGAAUAAGGACCGGCUAACUCCGUGCCAGCAGCCGCGGUAAUACGGAGGGUCCAAGCGUUAUCCGGAUUUAUUGGGUUUAAAGGGUCCGUAGGCGGGUCAUUAAGUCAGUGGUGAAAUCCUACAGCUCAACUGUAGAACUGCCAUUGAAACUGGUGACCUUGAAUAUAAUUGAAGUGGGCGGAAUGUGUCAUGUAGCGGUGAAAUGCUUAGAUAUGACACAGAACACCGAUUGCGAAGGCAGCUCACUAAGUUAUCAUUGACGCUGAGGGACGAAAGCGUGGGUAGCGAACAGGAUUAGAUACCCUGGUAGUCCACGCCGUAAACGAUGUAUACUCGUUGCUAGCGAUACACAGUUAGUGACCAAGCGAAAGUAUUAAGUAUACCACCUGGGGAGUACGAUC
rnacentral:rRNA from 1 species